GGGAGUGUGGUUCAAAUGGUAGAACACUCGUCUAGCAAGCAAGAGGCUUUGAGUUCAAGACUAGCACUGCCA
rnacentral:tRNA from 1 species